GGGAAUCCAGCACAGCAGGGGGUCUGACACUCAGGCGCUAUCAGCGGCAGGGUCUCGCGGUCCAUCCUCCAGGUGCCAGCAGGCCUGCCCAGAAUAAUUUUAGCUGGAGUCAAAAGGUGCAUGGCAAAAAGAAGCGUCAGAUUCAAAUUGCAGCAAUGAUAAUAAUAAGAAAAAGCAGCAAGCUCGGAUCUGAGAAAACAAAUGAUUCAGACCCAUUCCAAACACAAGCACAGUUAUACAUACACCAUUACCUCCAGCAACCAGGUAC